GACGAACGCUGGCGGCGUGCUUAACACAUGCAAGUCGAACGAACCGGCCCUGCUUUCUUGCGGUGCUCGAGUGGCAAACGCGUACGUAACACGAGCGUAACCUGCCCUUGCCUCUGGGAUAACUUUAGCAAACUGGGGCUAAUACCGGUUAGGCGCUGCUGCUACAUGGAGGUGGUUGGAAAGUUUCGGCGGGUGCGGGUGGACGCGCGGGUUAGCAGCUUGUUGGCGGGGGAGUGGCUUACCAAGACAGUGCUGGCUAGCCGGCCUGAGAGGGUGACCGGCCACAUUGGGACUGAGGGACGGCGCAGACUGCUACGGGAGGCAGCAGUGGGGAAUAUUGCACAAUGGGCGGAAGCCUGAUGCAGCAACGCCGCGUGCGGGAUGACGGCCUUCGGGUGGAAAACCGCGUUCGCCGGUGACGAAGCGUGAGUGACGGUAAUGGGUAAAGAAGCACCGGCUAACUACGUG
rnacentral:rRNA from 1 species